UACGUAGGGUGCGAGCGUUAAUCGGAAUUACUGGGCGUAAAGCGUGCGCAGGCGGUUAUUUAAGUCAGGUGUGAAAGCCCUGGGCUUAACCUAGGAAUUGCGCUUGAGACUGGAUAGCUUGGAGUGCGGCAGAGGGAGGUGGAAUUCCACGUGUAGCAGUGAAAUGCGUAGAGAUGCGGAGGAACACCGAUGGCGAAGGCAGCCUCCUGGGCCAGCACUGACGCUCAUGCACGAAAGCGUGGGGAGCAAACAGG
rnacentral:rRNA from 1 species